CUUCCUACGGGACGCAGCAGUGGGGGAUAUUGCACAAUGGGGGGAACCCUGAUGCAGCGACGCCGCGUGGAGGAUGAAGGUUUUCGGAUUGUAAACUCCUUUUGUUAGAGAAGAUAAUGACGGUAUCUAACGAAUAAGCACCGGCUAACUCCGUGCCAGCAGCCGCGGUAAUACGGAGGGUGCAAGCGUUAUCCGGAUUUACUGGGUGUAAAGGGAGCGUAGGCGGCAGGG
rnacentral:rRNA from 1 species